rnacentral:rRNA from 1 species
UACAGAGGGUGCGAGCGUUGUCCGGAAUCACUGGGCGUAAAGGGCGCGUAGGUGGUGGCUUAAGCGUGCGGUGAAAGCUCGGGGCUCAACCCCGAGUCGGCCGUGCGAACUGGGCUCACUGGAGCAUAGUAGAGGCAGGUGGAAUUCCGGGUGUAGCGGUGGAAUGCGUAGAGAUCCGGAAGAACACCGGUGGCGAAGGCGGCCUGCUGGGCUAUGGCUAACACUGAGGCGCGACAGCGUGGGGAGCAAACAGG